UCGUACGUUUCUAUACGUAUUGUUUAAGUAUAUGUGAAUGUAUGUGUAUAUAUUAUUCGAAGAAUAACUUCACAAGUAAUACUUUUAUAUAUCGGAAGGAUCGUGCCGGACGAAGUCAUUUAUUUUAGUUUAGAAAUUAGUAUACGAGUACUUGUUUAUCGGAGACCAAGAACUAAAAGAAAAA